rnacentral:rRNA from 1 species
UACGUAGGGUGCAAGCGUUAAUCGGAAUUACUGGGCGUAAAGCGUGCGCAGGCGGUGAUGUAAGACAGAUGUGAAAUCCCCGGGCUCAACCUGGGACCUGCAUUUGUGACUGCAUCGCUAGAGUACGGCAGAGGGGGAUGGAAUUCCGCGUGUAGCAGUGAAAUGCGUAGAUAUGCGGAGGAACACCGAUGGUGAAGGCAAUCCCCUGGGCCUGUACUGACGCUCAUGCACGAAAGCGUGGGAAGCAAACAGG